rnacentral:rRNA from 1 species
CCUAAUACAUGCAAGUCGAGCGGAGUUAGAGAAGCUUGCUUCUCUAACUUAGCGGCGGACGGGUGAGUAACACGUGGGCAAUCUGCCCGUAAGACUGGGAUAACUCCGGGAAACCGGGGACGUAAUACCGGAUAAUCCUGACUCUCUCCUGAGAGUCAGUUGAAAGAUGGUUUCGGCUAUCACUUACGGAUGAGCCCGCGGCGCAUUAGCUAGUUGGUAGGGUAAUGGCCUACCAAGGCGACGAUGCGUAGCCGACCUGAGAGGGUGAUCGGCCACACUGGGACUGAGACACGGCCCAGACUCCUACGGGAGGGCAGCAGUAGGGAAUCUUCCGCAAUGGACGAAAGUCUGACGGAGCAACGCCGCGUGAGUGAAGAAGGUUUUCGGAUCGUAAAACUCUGUUGUUAGGGAAGAACACGUACGAGAGUAACUGCUCGUACCUUGACGGUACCUAACCAGAAAGCCACGGCUAACUACGUG